rnacentral:rRNA from 1 species
AACGAACGCUGGCGGCAGGCUUAACACAUGCAAGUCGAGCGCCCCGCAAUGGGAGCGGCAGACGGGCGAGUAACGCGUGGGAAUCUACCCAUCUCUACGGAAUAACGCCUGGAAACGUGUGCCAAUACCGUAUACGUCCUGCGGGUGAAAGAUUUAUAGAGGAUGGAUGAGCCCGCGUUGGAUUAGCUAGUGGGUGGGGUAAAGGGCUAACAAGGCGACGAUCAAUAGCUGGGGUGAGAGAAUGAUCAGCCACACUAGAGCUGGGACACGGACCGGACUCCUACGGGAGGCAGCAGUGGGGAAUAUUGGACAAUGGGCGCAAGCCUGAUCGAGCCAUGCCGCGUAAGUGAUGAAGGCCCUAGGGUUGUAAAGCUCUUUCACCGGUGAAGAUAAUGACGGUAACCGGAGAAGAAGCCCCGGCUAACUUCGUGCCAGCCGCCGCCGUAAUAC